AGCGACGAAGGUGGGGCUGGGAGAUGCAAUUGUCUGAACAACAGGCGCGGCGGCGGCGGGAAAUAGCAACAGCAGCAGGCGCGGCGGCGGCGGGAAUUAGCAACGGAGUAGCAGCGGCAGCGACGGUGAAGGGGCUGGGAGGUGCAUUAGUCUGAACAACAGGCGCGGCGGCGGCGGGAAAUAGCAACAGCAGCAGGCGCGGCGGCGGCGGGAAUAAGCAACGGAGUAGCAGCGGCAGCGACG
rnacentral:lncRNA from 1 species